CGUCCAGACUCCUACGGGAGGCAGCAGUGGGGGAUAUUGGACAAUGGGGGGAACCCUGAUCCAGCGAUGCCGCGUGAGGGAAGAAGGUUUUCGGAUUGUAAACCUCUGUGGACAGGGACGAUAAUGACGGUACCUGUCAAGAAAGCCACGGCUAACUACGUGCCAGCAGCCGCGGUAAUACGUAGGUGGCGAGCGUUGUCCGGAAUUACUGGGUGUAAAGGGAGUGUAGGCGGGAAGGCAAGUCAGAAGUGAAAAUUAUGGGCUCAACCCAUAACCUGCUUUUGAAACUGUUUUUCUUGAGUGAAGCAGAGGCAAGCGGAAUUCCUAGUGUAGCGGUGAAAUGCGUAGAUAUCACGCAGAACUCCGAUUGCGAAGGCAGCGCACCGGCGCCCUACUGACGCUCAGGCACGAAAGCGUGGGUAUCGAACAGGAUUAGAUACCCUCGUA
rnacentral:rRNA from 1 species